GGGAAACAGCCGCCGGCGCCCGCGCAUGCGCUGUCCAGGGCCGACGCGGUUGUAUCAUGCUGAGAAGGAGCCGGGCGGGGGCCGGCGGGGCUGCGAGGGCCCUGUGAGGAGGGGCACCUGCCACUAGAAGCGGCCUCUGGGACGUCGCGCUGAGCCCUGCUUUGGAGUCAGAGGGGCUUUCCGCCUCGGUGAACUCGAGAGUAGCAACUCUCCUCCGGGUAACCGGAGUGCCACAGCGGGCAGGCGUCAUAAGGACAGGCCUCGGAGAGGAGAGGGGCUACCCGAGAAUGGCCUCAAAAGUAUGCAUAGGAGUUGGGAAGGCAGAGGAACAAGUGUAUUCAGAGACGCAAGGUCGUAGAGGGAAGGAGAGGGAGGGUGCUGGGUGGUCGGGCCGGAUUGUGAGGGUCUUUAAGGCCAGCUGGGGAGUGGAGCCUUUAUCCAGAUGGCGAUGGGAACCAUCUGGGAUUCACACUGAGGAACUGGGAGUCUCAGGAAGCGCCCCGGGCACAGAUGGAAGGUGUGACAGGGCUGUGUGAAGCCAGCUGGGAGGCCACCUCAGUCAGCCCUGGGAGAGUGACCUUGGGGAUGGAAAAGAGGACUUGAUGGUUCUCAGGCCUGGAGCUGUCUCGAUGCGGGGCCGCAGGUUGCCUCUGCAUUACCCUGAGAGCUUUCCAAAUUACUUCCCCGCUCCCUCACAUUUACAGCCGGUUUCUGCCCGCUACUCAGGAUUGUCUGCCGUGGUGGCUUCUCACACAAGCCUGUACUUUCCUGUGGGAGAAUAUUUCCUAGGAGCCUAUAUUCCAGUUCAUCUCUGACGUCAUAAAUCAUGACUGUGUAGAAAGCAUAACAUGUGACACAUGGCAGCCAUUUUGGAGAUGGCCAGAUGAGAGGACAAUCAAUCCACAUGCCUAAAUGGAACCAACAGACAUGUGCCAGCUUGCUUCUCCAGCCUAUGUUCUCAGACACUUGUAGAAGACCAGAGGGAAAAUGGAAUCAGAAAAAACAGCAACAACAACAAAAAGCCAUCCAGGGCCAUGCACAGUGGCUCACUCCUGUAAUCCCAACAGUUUGGGAGGCCAAGGCAGGUGGAUUGCUUGAGCUCAGCAGUUUAAGACCAGCCUGGGCAACAUGGCGAAACCCUUUCUCUACUAAAUACAAAAACUAGCUGGGUGUGGUGGCAUGCACCUGUAGUCCCAGCUACUCGGGAGGCUGAGGUGGGAGGAUCACCUGAGCCUGGGAGGUUGAAGCUGCAGUGAGCUGUGAUGGUGCCACUGCACUCCCACCUGGGUGACAGAGCAAGACCCUGUCUCAAAAAAACAAAACUAAACAAAAAAAUCCAUGUGGGAAAAGGCCCAAUCAGAGCCAACUCACUGCUGGGAUUAGUAGAAAUGAUUAGUCACCAGAAGGCAAAUCGUGGAAGAAUGAAGAGAUGACAGGACCUCAGGAACUACACCCAGAGGUGUAGUUGUGCCGUAGGCAAAGCAUCAUGCCGGUCAUCCCCAAGAAAGGGAGAAGGGGUAGAGCUCAGACUCUUCCCUGCUUCCCCAUAAGUCCAGUUUACCCUGGGCUGAUCCUUUCAGCAUGGCAGCCUCCGUGGGGAGGCACGAGAUCCAAAGAUGAAGAUGUCUAUGGGGGUGAAGAAGAAUGGCAAACUUUGCAGGCAAGAGUAGGCAUUAGAGAGAUCAGAGGAGGAAGACAAUAGAGAAGGAUGACACAGGACAGGCUGUAUCUAGAGGAUAUAAUGCCAUGGACUUUGGACUAUUCCAGAGAGGCUGAGAGACCUGUCUCCUGCCUACAAGGCUCCUUGAACUCUGCACCCUUCUUUUUGCUAAAGUGCUGCUGAGGCCUGUCUCACUUCCCAAUGAAAAGCAACUCAGGAAAUUGGCUUCCUGCCCCACUCCUUCUUUGGGAGAGAGAAACAGAACUGAAGAGGAAGGAAGGAAGCCCAAAGAAACAGAGGCUUUCUUUCCUGGCUGAGAUUUGUUGGCACUGCCCACUAACAUAGAGAAUAAGGUGGUUCCCUAAGCGAGCCUUAAGCUGGCAUGAGGCUACAAACAAGUGAUUGUAUCUUCGUUCUGCUCAGCAGCCUACCUGGGCUGGCCUGGACAACCUCAAUUGUAUACUGAGGUCUUAAGCUGGCCAUGGCCCUUGGUAAAGCAGGAGAAAGGAAUAAGGCUGGAAGGUACAGAAUUUGCUUGAUGCCUUGCCUACAUAAUUCCUUUGCUGUUGCAACUGGCAACUCUUUGCUUGCAUUAUAUGAAAAAAAGGCGGUAAAAAAUUGUCAGAAAUGUUUGCCACCAGCCUAACCCCACUGCCCAUGCAUUGCUCCCAAGAAAGCUAAUUAAGGCCCAUUGCUAUUAGAGUUACAUGAUUCUGAAGGCUUGUUAUGACAAGAAAAAAUAAUGAAGACAUGGUUCCUCCAAGUCAUAAGCAUCCAAGUCAAAACAUACUGCAUCCCAGGCGAGUGUGGUGGCUCACGCCUGUAAUCCCAGCACUUCGGGAGGCCAAGGCAGCCGGAUCACGAGGUCAGGAGUUCGAGACCAGCCUUGCCAAGAUGAUGAAACCCCGUCUCUACUAAAAAUACAAAAAUUAGCCAGGCAUGGUGGCGGGCGCCUGUACUCCCAGCUACUCAGGAAGCUGAGGCAGGAGAAUCGCUUGAAACCGGGAGGCGGAGGUUGCAAUGAGCCGAGAUCACACCACUGCACUGUACCCUGGGCGUCAGAGCAAGACUCCAUCUCAAAAAAAAAAGAAAAAAACAUCCUGCAUCCCUUGUUCCUUUGUGUUCCCCUAGACAAGCCUCUGGGCUGGCUUUGCCUAUCUCAUGCAUGCAGGCAGUCAUCCUCCUUUGGCCAGUGCAUACCUGACUCCUACUCAGUGCCAGGCCUGGAGAAGACUGUGAGACCUGCCCUUGAGGAGUUCUGUUUGCAGGAAGAGAGUGAUAGGCACACAAAUUAUUUCCAAUAAACUACAGAAAAUGUCACCAGAAUCUCUAUUGUGAUCAUGUCCCCCACCCAUGUCUGUUUCAUAGAUUGGGGGAGAACAGGCCCGGGUGGAAAGUCAUGCACUUAUGCCCUCUCCUGACCAGCCCACAUGUCCUACCCCAGCCAACAGUGGUUCAGGCAUGACUCUGACUGCUCAUGGGAAAGAGCAGCUUGCUCA
rnacentral:lncRNA from 10 species